rnacentral:lncRNA from 1 species
GAGCAGGGAGGCUGGGGUGGAUCGGCUGCCUGCUGUCUCUGACUGGAAGCCACUACCUUUAGGGCAGGAACUCCGACUACUUCACUUGCCACUGGAUCAUCUGGGUUUUGAAGAAACCAAGAUGCCUUUCAUUAAUUCUUCCAACUAAAUUAAUGGAGUCACUGUAUCUUGAAGACCAUUAGCAGAGCAGAAACAAGAGUUUUGGCUGGAAAAGGGUUUCUGCUUUUUUAUCUUCUUCGUUUUCUCUUGCCACCACCAUGUAAGAAGUGCCUUUCACCUCCCACAAUGAUCCUGAGGUCUCCCCAGCCAUGUGGAAAUAUGUGCACAAUUGUUAUCACUGAUGUACCUGUGUCUUCAGCCUGUUUGACUACACUGGGGUGAGGACAUUGUGGAACAGAUGGAUUAUAAUCUACCUGGGCUCACACAGCUAGGAGGUGAUAAAGGAAAGAAGCAGCAUGUAGCCAUUGGACCCAACCCCUUUAGCCACUGUAGAGCUUGAGAGAGCUGGAUCUCUCCAAGUUACAUCUGGCUUUUUGAUUAUCUGACAAAGGAGAACAUGAAGAAUGAAUUCCAUCGUUACCAAAAAGUCAUAGUGAUAUUAACACAUGCCCUGAUAACCUGAAAAAGCUGCUGUAAAACCAGAGAGCAGUUCGAUAAUGAGCCUGGGACAUAUACAAGAAAACCUGAGCUGUAGAGUGAGUGUCUGCAAAGGCUGAGAGGGCUCCCACUAUGCUUCAUUCUCCCGGAGGUUGCUUUUAUCCAACUCACAGUUGCUUCUUUUGCUCUUUACUUUGUGGAGGUGUUUGGAAAUCUUGAAAUUCUUAAGGUCGCUUUGACCUUCUUAGAUGAAA